rnacentral:rRNA from 1 species
ANGCCGCGUGUGUGAGAAGGCCUGAGGGUUGAAAGCACUUUCAGUGGGGAGGAGGAUAGCAUGGUUAAGAGCUGAGCUAUUGGACGUUACCUACAGAAGAAGCACCGGCUAACUCCGUGCCAGCAGCCGCGGUAAUACGGAGGGUGCGAGCGUUAAUCGGAAUUACUGGGCGUAAAGGGUGCGUAGGUGGUUAAAUAAGUUAGAUGUAAAAACCCUGGGCUUAACCUAGGACUGAGAUUUAAUACUGUUUAACUAGAGUAUGGGAGAGGGUAGUGGAAUUUCCGGUGUAGCGGUGAAAUGCGUAGAGAUCGGAAGGAACACCAGUGGCGAAGGCGGCUACCUGGCCUAAUACUGACACUGAGGCACGAAAGCGUGGGGAGCAAACAGGAUUAGAUACCCUGGUAGUCCACGCUGUAAACGAUGUCAACUAGCCGUUGG